UUAUACUUACACAAUGAUAUUGUUAAUGGGUAUAUGAAUGAGUUUGACAAAAAAUCCAAUGAAACCCAUUAUGCAAAACCCAAUAGCUGUUGCAAUUGCGAUUUUUUGGAAUUCUGUGAACAAAGUUCAUAAUUUCAUAAAUCGGUUGGAUAAUGAAUAGACAAAAUCAUAAUGUUUACCUUUCCUGUCUGGUUUGGUGCAUCUUUUCACCAGCCUGACCGAGUCUUUAGAGAACUGACGUCCAGGUUCCAAUACUUUUGUUACUUGAUCCAUAUUAUUACCUUCUACGCGUAUGUGACCUACGGGAUAACAAAAACAACUUAACAAAAUAAUUCAAAUAAACGACACGGUGAUGAGGUUGUGGCAAAUAUAAUUGUUUAACACACAGAGUUUUGGUAUGAGAGGUAAAUAGCGUACGAGUAAUGAACGCGUCAACAACUGGGUCGUUCCACGAAACGCGGAACUGUAUAUUAAACAGUAAACUGAUUAUUUUAGUGACACGUUUUGAUUGUUCUUAUCACUAACAGUCUACGUAAAUAACAAAUGGAAGCAACGUCAUCGGUCGUGUUGGAAUCAUAGAUAAUAAAAGAUUUUAUUAUCUAUGGUUGGAACGCCAUUGAUUGUAAACAACUGUUUGACUGAUGUUCGGAAUAUCCUUGGAGCACGAGAGAGUUUGCUGAUGUUUUUAUCCCCAGCAGAUCACAUAAAUAAUAAUAAUUAUCACCUUUCUGGAAACCUGUUCGAGCAUCGAGCUGCCGCCGCAGCAGCAGCAGCAAACUGGAUGCAUUAUAAUGUGAUUGAUUGUCAAUAAAUUAUUAUUGACAUUUGACACCAGUUUGUUGGCUUCUCCCGUCAUCUGCUCAUUUCUAUCCCGUUUUACGCGUCUCUGAUCUUUUGGGUCGGCCACAGAUACAUCCGAUUUAUAUACACGUUCGUAAUAUGCACAGCACCCAAUAAUAUGGCUUUCUUGUGUCCUGUAAGAAUACGUCGAGGCAAGAAGAAAAAAAGUACGAUUAAUUCCUCACUCCCACCACUAUUACUGCUAAAAUUUAUCCUUCAGGACCUGUUGGAUCGUUGAAUUUUUUUUAAAUUUUUAACUUGCUUACAGGUGGUUCAACCAGCGAUUUGGAUAAAGAGGUGUUACGUGGAACCAAUGUCAAUGGACCCGUUCCCGGUAUGGGACGUAUCACUGGCAGUGCGUCUAUUGAGACAUUGGUGCGCGUCGGUAUUGAAAAAGAAAAUGGUCUGUCACCCGAUAGUAAAAUGGUUGUGCUGCACGAUUUCACACCGUGUGUCGAUGAUGAGUUGACUGUGAAACGAGGCCAGGUUAGUGUCUUAUCUUACCUAUAUAGACCAAGUAUUCUGGGAAAAAGAACGUGAAAAGUACUUUUAAAUUGAUUUAUCAGUGAUACGUUUUCAUGUGGGUACGGUUUACCCAUUUUAUGUUCUAGCCAUUUUAGAUCCAAUAAAUAUUCAAUGUUUUGCAAAUAGUAAAUACCCUUAUACACAUUUAAAAACAUAGAUGAAAAAAAAUUAUUUUUAGUUAUCAGUUUUCAUUUUUUAUUAUAAUCAACAUAAUAUAGUAUAAUUUUGCUUAACUUGAUUGUAACGUUUUUAAAUGACUUUAAAAUUAAGCAAAAUUGUUCUAUCACUUCAAAAUCCUCUAUUUAUAAACUAAUUAUACUCGUAAUAACUUCAAUAUUGCAUAAUAAUGGUUAUUUUGUUUCUAAAAUUAUUUUCAACUUGUCAUAAGUUGAAUUCCAUCUUGUAGUUACAUCUUGUUUUAAUUUAACUGUUUCCGAUUUGUGUUUGCAUAUUUUUUAAUUUUAAAGUAGCUUGUGUGAUUCUUUUAAAAUGUUCUACUAUGGACUUAACUCGUUUAUGCUUAUCAUUUAUUUUGUUUAAACCAUUUUGUGCAUAGCUUAAAUUUAAACUGUGUGCAAAACGUGGAAUAUGAGACCAGCUGCUGUCUAUACUAAUUGCAGAAGUUAUAUUAGAUGCAUUAUCACUUACUGCUACUUUCAUUUUUUCAGAAAUAUCCUAAUCUUUAAAAGUUUUAUUCAAAAAUGUUGACAAAUUUAAUGCAAUAUGUUUUUCUUCAAAAUUAUAACAUCCCAAAACAUCAGAUUUCACCUCACAAUUUUCUUUGUCAAUAAAAUGACCAGUUACUGCAACAAAACUAUGUGUAUUUAAAGAAGUCCACUCAUUGGUCGUUAUAGUGAUAUAUAAUGCAUUACUCAAAGAUGUGGAUACUUUUUCUUUAGUUGUAUUAUACAAUUGUGGAAUAAUAGAAGUUGGAUAUUGUUUUUCUGCUUGAUAGUAAGUAACCGGGAUUUACAAGAUUUACAUAAUUUCCUAAAUUCUGUGUCCUCUACAUUAUUAUACGGUUAGAACUCUUUAGCUAUAUUAUUAGCUAUCAUGAUAGCUAAUUGAUCAUCAAUUUUUUUAGAUUUUAAAACGGAAACUAGCUUAAUAAUAUAUGAUUUAAUAUGUGUUUGUUUAGGUUGUGCAAAUGUUUUUACAACUGAAGGUGAUUGUUUAGUACUUAUAUUUUCAGAUGAACUACAGAUUUGACAUAUAGGGUUAUCAACGUUGUUGAUUAAUUAAUAUUGGCUGUCAUUUGUGAGAUGCAUACUCAUAUUGAAUAGUGUGCUUUCUUUUUAAAUGCCUGUUUAGUUUAGCAGUGGAUCCCCCUUUAAACAAAUACGAAUUAGAGCAAUAAUGACAUUUCGCACUAUCACUGUCAACUAUAAUAUAAUAAUGCCAAAUCUCACUUGUUUUUCUAUCUGAACUAGACAUUUUUAAUUGUGAUUACAUUGUAAUAAAUCCGUCACUUCGGUAGUAUUGACUGGGUCACUAAAACGUUAUACUCACAGUAAAAUAAUAACAUUAAAUAAAACAGAGAAAUUAUUGAAUAGAAAAUUAACAAUAAAGUCUUACAAAUAAUAAAUUAUGUCCUAGUAUUACACACUAUGUCCAACAAGUAUUAAUUACUAAUAACAGAAAUAGUAUAAUAAUAAUAACAACACUUAAUGAACUGUUUCUCGUUUUUGAACGAAUCCUAUAAUCCUAUAAAAAUAAACAUCAUUAUUUAUUAUUAUAACUGCUAUUAUUUAUUACAUUCUACCAAGUCGCCAAGAACUAUUGAUUAUAAAUAUUCAUUGUGAAUGUUAUUAUUUAUAAACAGGUACCUAUUGUAUAGCUAUAUUUUAAUUAUUAAUAGUUGUAGUUCAUCAACAAAUACGAAUCCGGUUAUUUAAUAUUUUUUCGAAUGACGAGCACGCGCAUACUGGUGCAAUCAGUACAUGAUAUGAAUAUGGAACAAUGUAAUUUUGGACCUAUUACACAAUUACACAUUUGUACCCAAAAGGAUCAAAUUGGUGGAAUUGUUCCGAUACAUUCCCUCUCUGUUAUAAGUAACGAUUUAUUCAUGAACACCACAUCACUAGUUUUCAAUCAAAGAAUUGAUUUAUUGCCAUUUCUAUUUGGUGUAAAUCUAGUUUUACAACCCAAGCUAGUUUUAAAAAUUUUUUUUUUCAAAAUGUUUGUUUUUGUCUGUACAUUAAGAAUCUAAAUAAAAAAGUUGGACAGAUUUGUAAGUUCUGGGGGAAAAUUCAUGAAGUUCGGAUUUUCCAUUUCGCAUAUUUCUUAGUUAGAAUUUAACAUUUUCAAUUUUUUUUUUCCAAGAUAUGUUUUUUAAUGCUUAAUUCAUUGGUAUAAUCAAAACUUUCCUAUCAUACUUUUAUAGUUAUUGUACAUAAAUCUACCCACCUUUAGUGCUUUUAUCUUUCACCCUGUUACCUACCUGAUGUGGUUUUGCACAAAAAAUCGAGGAUUAUUUUCAAUUAAAAUUGUCCGAGUGAGCACAGCAAAAUACGGCAUGUUUAAACGUUUGCAAUUUUAAAUCUAAGCGAAAUAGAUUUAUUUUCAUUUCAUGAAUUCAAUAAAAAAAAACUACUUUUUACCACAUUUUGAAUUAAUUCCAAAAAUAUUAUUUUUCAAGGUUAUAAACCAAUACCUUUAAUAACUUUAAAAGUUAGUAUUAUAGGUAAGUUUUGAUUAUGCCAAUGGAAUCAUUAAGCAUUAAGAAACACGCAUUUUGAAAAAAAAAAAAUUGAAAAUUGAUGUAUUUAAAUGUCUUAAUAUUUUAAUUUUAAACACUAUUAACAAAUCUACCUAAAAACAUUGUAUAAUAUAAUAAUAUAAUAUUAUAAUAAACAAUAUAACUUCUCCAUAAAGCUACUUUAAAACUAUUUUCAAGGUAAUCAAUUUAAAACAUUUUGUUUUUAUUGUUUACUUAAGAACAUUUUCAUUAAUAUAAACUUUAGUAUCUAUCUGACUUUUAAACUGAGUUUAUAGUUAAAAGCUGACCAAAAUUGGUUGGUUAAUUUCUUAAACUAUUUAAAAAUCAAUGUUUACAUAAUAACAAAACUUCAUGCAUGUUACAAUUACUUUUAACAUAUUUAUUGUUUUCUAGGUUGUUAACAUUUUAUACAGAGAGAAUGAUUGGGUGUAUGUAAUAGCAGAGGAUAGCCGUCAAGAGGGUUUUAUACCUCAUUCUUAUUGUACACCUUAUAAUUCUCAACUUGGUGAGAUAGCUUUAAAUAAUGUUAAAAAAAAAUUACCACGUGCACCUGCUGCUACACCAACUGAAACGGUUAUUGAAGUUGAAAUAAAUGAACAACAAAAACAUGGUUUGUGUAUUACAUUUUAUCAAUAUUAAUAUAAUAUUGUAUAUUAUAACUUUAAACAUAAUUGUUCUGUAUGUAUUUUUUUUUUUCAUUAUUAGGAAAUUGUGGUGAUUUAUCAGACUGUGAAAGUUUUGGCAAUAAAACUCAAGAUCAAAAGAUUCAAAAUAAGCAAAAUAUAACUAGUUCUAGAGCAUCAUUAUUAAGUGCGUCUUCACAUCCUGAAAUUCGACCUUUUUUCAAAGUGAGUAUUAUUAAUAUAUUGAAUAUAGUUUACACACUUGCAUAACUUACAGAGAUCUUACUAUCUGUGUGUAAUGGGAAAAUAAUAAAAGAAUAAAUAAAAGCCUCUUCAUAACAUUAAACCGGUAAAUAGAUAUACCAGUACACUGAUUAAUAUUUUGUAUACUAGAUUCUAGAAUAUAAAGAUUUUUUCUAUGAUAAUCAAGAUUUCCUGUAGAACACCAAACAUUUGUACACUAAUUUCUAUUAGUGAUUUACACUAUGUUUAAUUUUUAAAUUUAAUAUAUUGUAUAUUUUUUUCAUCUCUAUACUUUUUGACUAGAAUCAUAAUAAAAUUUUACAUUACACAUAAUCAUGUUUUGUUUGAUGUUUUUUCUCUUCUUUAUUCUCUUUUACUUUUUGUUAUUUACUUAAAUUAUUUUAUUUUAUUAUAGGAUGUUCAAAUGAUAUUAAUAUUGCUAUGAUUUUAGGUUCUAAGCAAAUCGAGAAAUGUAUUGGUUUCAUAAUGAUAUUUUAUUUUUAUUUAUUUUAUACUGUGUGCAAAAAUUCCAUCAGAAACCUGUCUCCGAAGUAUUAAAUAUAGCACCUUUUUUGAAAGGAAAUUUUCUUGGGGUAAUACAGUAGAGGGGGGUCAUUUUUUGAUUUUCCCAGGGGGUUUUCAUAAAAAAAAAAAUGGAAAAAUGUACAAAAAUAAUAAAAGUAUUAUUUUUAAUUUACAAAUAAAAACACAUCUUUGUCAAAUUUGUAAUUUUCUCUGUUAUUUGUCUGUUAACAUGUAUUUGACCAGUUGUGGAUUUUACACCUUUAAAACCUAGUUAGUACUCUUCUACUCCGUUUUUUUUUUUAAUAGUUUUAGUCUUUUUAAAGUUAUAUUUGUGAGGACUUUAUGAUGGGCUAAGUAAAGUUUCCUCUUUAACAGAGGUUCCUAAACUUUUUAUGGUAUUACUCAUUUUGGAAAUUAUUGAAAUUUUGCCGACAAUAAUAUCACUUUUUUUUUCUGCUGUUUCUUGGAUCAGUUAUUUACAACAAAGAAUUAAAAACUAUGCAUUUUAAAGAAUGGCCAAUUUUAUUUUUAAAUUUGUAUCAAGGAAUAUUUAUAAUUAUUUACUUAGUUAGUAAAAAAUAAUAUAUAUAUUAGUAAGUAUAUAAAAUUUUAAUAUGAAACAUGUUAUUGUUUCUUAUAUUUUAUUACUGUAUUGAUAUUCACUUCAAUAUUUGUUAGCUUGAGAUGCAGUGAGUUUGACAAUAUCAAUUUGCUCCAUAAUUUGGUUUUGAUAGCAACCUUUGCUGAAAAUCCAACUUCACAAUUAUAUGAUUAAAUAAAUAGGAGUAACAUCUAUACAGCUUCAUUGAAAACAUUUCAAUGGGUUUCUCGAACAGACAAUCAGAAACUUUUAAAUUUUUUGAUUGAAAUUCAUUUUAAAUAAAUUAUUUUCAAUUAAUUCUUCUUUAGCUCUUAUUUCAUUUUUAGAUAGUUCUCUAUCUCACUCAGAAAAUAUGAAUCAAAAUUAUCUUUCAGUGUAUUUAAAUUAUUAGAAAUAGAUGAAAUAAUGUUAUCAUCAAAUUUUAUUUGUAAAUCAAAUAAAUAUAGAACAACUAUUAAUUUGAUUGUGUCUAUUGACAAAUUCAUAAUUGUAACACUCGCAGAUAACGAUUUAUGAUAAAACUGAAUUUGAACAUCAACGAAAAGUAAUAAAAAUACAGAAUUAUAGUACCACAUGUCAAAAAAAAAAAAAUAUAUUAUUUAAAAAUAUUAUGGUGACAGUUUGGGAACCUCUGCUCUAUAGUUUUGGCAGUCCCUUAAGUCUCCAUUUUUAUGUAUUGGACACAGUACUAAAUAAAAUCUGCUAUGAUUUUGGUAAUAUUUCUUCUUUCCAUGUUAUAGUUAUUACCUGUUUCAAGUAUAUUAUAAGUUCCAACAUUUUUGAGUCUUCUCUUAACGCUCUUCCUCUCUUUAGCAUAUUAACUACAUUUUAAUCUCCUCCAACAAAGGCCUCUAAAAAUUCCUCUACUGAAUAUUAUUAUUUUCAGUUUCUAUUUGAGUUGAUAUGUUCAAGAUAUUUUUGAGAUCUUUUCGAGUUCUUUUGUUACCUCUUCCUUAUCAGUGAUUAAUUUUAACUUUUUGUUUUUCAUUAUUCUUGAUCUAGGUUCGAAUCUAUUUGAUUCUGAGCGAAGCGAGGAAUGUAUUGGUUUUACAAUGAUUUAAAUUUUUUUUUUUUCAGUGGACAACUUUUCUAUCAGAAAUCUUGCUCCAAUUUUUAAGUGUUGCACUUUUUCUGAAAUGGAAUUGGACUGGGGGAGGUACUUUAGGGAGGUCAUUUUUGGAUUUUCUAAGUUGGCUUUCAUAAUAUCUGGGAAUAAACCGGGAUAAAAUGUAGGGAAAAAAAACUACGAAAAUAAUGCAUUUUGAAUUUAGUUUAAAAUGUUCAUAGUGGUUUAAAAUUUGGAUAGAAAACUUAUAUUUACCUUUUCUAGAGGUGAUAAAACUGUGAAAGCAUAUCAGACAUUUAUUAAUUGUUUAUAGAUAUUUUAAAUUUCUGAGUAAUUUUUAUUUAGUAGGUACUCUGUGGAUAAAAUUGUGCUUAGAAAUUGAUUACGAGGUUCAUUAGAAGUUGUAUAUUGUGGUCAAAACAAAAAAAAAAAAAAUGAGUUGUUUUAUAUAUGCUCUGAAUCUAAAAGAGCUGAUAAUGGAAACAGGUGCGACCACUGUUAUAGUGGAGAAAGUAGUAUACAGUGGUAUGGCGCGCAGCGUUUUAUUAGUGCUCCACUAUUCUCCCCUUACCUAAACUUAAAAGUAUAAUACCUUGUCAAUGAGUGGAUGGAAAUAAAAAAUGUUAAAACCAAAACGUAUUUAAAGUAAUACUUUGUCUUAGAGAUUUAUGGAUUUUUAAAUAUAGGCUCUCAUUUGAAAAACCAAAUUUGUAUUGUCUCAGGAUACUCCUUAAAUUUUAUGAAAAAUCUAAGUAUUCGAAAAUAUCAGUUUUAAUUACAAUUAAAAAUUCAAUAAACAGAAUUUGAAUUUAUGCAAAAUUUAAUCAAAAAAAGUUUAAUCUUCUGACUCUGUUUAAAAAAAUAUAUUUUCUUAAAUAUUUAUCAAUAUUAAUUCUAUAAUAUAUAUUAUUCUAUUUGCCAUAUUUAUUACAUUUAUUUUGAUUAUUUAAUUAUUUAGGCAUAUUACAUUAUGUUGUGGACCACUUCAUUUUUGGAUCAAAGAUAAUUGUGGUAGGUACAUUUAUUCAAAAGAAACAGUUUUGAAACAUGUUUGGUACAAAGUGUAGUUUUGUAAUUUUAUCUAUUGUAUAUUAUUAUUACUUGUUCAAUGUAAUAUUAUAAUAUAUUAACCUUUGGGAAUUAUAGGAUCCUGCUGGACGGUACAUCGUUCUGUAUACAUUUAUAGCAAGAGAUGAAAAUGAUGUUAGCGUUGAAAGAGGAGAAUUUGUUACUGUAUUGAAUAGAGAAGACCCUGAUUGGUAUUGGAUUAUUCGUAGCGACGGACAAGAAGGUUUUGUUCCUAGCGGUUUUGUUUAUCCAGCUGAUAUAAUACAAGGUAUAGAAUAUAUCCAAUAAAUUUGUUUCAUUAUUAAUGAUAAUUAAAUUAUUAAUUAAUAAUAAAUUAAAAUAAUAACAUAUAUUAUGAUAAAAUUAAUCAUUGUAUAGUCAAAAUAAAUAAUUAUCAAUUAAUAAAAUAAUAAAUUAAAACAAAAUUAUUAAAAUGGUUAAUAAUCUUAAAUAAAUAUAUAAAUAAAACAAUUCAUAUAUAUAUAUAUAUAUAAAAUGUUUUAUAUAUAUUUACUAUAUUUAAUUAUUGAUUGUUUUUUGUACAGGUCAUAUUAAUCAAAUGAAUAAUAAUAAUCAGUGUACUGGUGCUACUAAUACUGGACUUCCUCCAGUAACAAGAGCUCGACCACGUCGGAAUUCUUGUGUGGCUGAUGAUGAUCCAGCUAUUCAUGGUACUGAAAUGGUUAUGUUGUAUGAUUACAAGGUAUGUGCAUAUUCAAUGUAAUUAAAGGGUCAAAUGCAACAACUGGCCUUGUCCACUUUUACUUAAUGUUUGGUAGACAGAAAAAUCUUUAAAAUAAAGAAAAAGAUAAAAUUUCAGACAAAUAAUGUAAUGUAGUUAUUAAUAUUACAAAAUAUUUAAACAUUUAAAUGAACACAGUUUUGUUAUUUAAGUUAGUCCUAUUGCAAUUUUUAAUCAAUAAAUAUUGUAUUAAAAAUAUUAAUUUAAUUAUUAAAAUUACACUACAUUACUACAUAGCAGAUUUAUAACCUACUAUAAUUUUGAAUCCACGUCAAAAUGUUGUGGCAAUAAUUUCGUGAUUAAAAAUAUCUGUAUAAAAAUUAUUUAAAAAUUAAAAAUAUAAAUUUUUUAUUUUGUAUUAUAUUUAGUAUAAUUUAUAUACAGUGAGGUUAGAUUAAAAAUAAUAAUUUCUUACAUUUCAUACAUUUGUAGUUGUCAUUUAUACUGUUUAUGUACAUAGUCAAAUCAAAUUAGUUAUUAAAAAAGUAUUAUAUUAUUUAUAUUACAGUAGAUUCUCGUUAUAUCGAAUCUCAAGGGGAACAAAAAAAAGUUCGAGAUAAUGAAUUUUAUUAAAAAAUACAUAAUUUUAAUACUUAAAAUACUGAAAUAAUUGAAAUGAGUGAAUAAAUUAUGUUUUAUUUUAAAAAAUCUGUCAUUAAAGUUUGCUUAAUAUUACUUCUUUCUGCCACGACGUCUUCCAAAUUAGAUAAUACAAAAAAGCCUUAUCUUCUAUACCUGUGAUAGUCUCAACAAAAUUCCUUAAUGUUUUUAAAGCAUGUUUGGCUUGUUGAAUUGUAACUUCAAAAAUGACUUCCUCCUCAUUUUGUGGUUCGUUUUCACUCUCGCUGGUAUUUCAGAUGGUUUCUGAUAAAAUUUUGUUAUCUGUCCAUGUUCCACAUACGUGUACAUUAUUGUCCAUUUCCACAUAAUGUGAAAAACUCUGUCGUCAAAAUUAAGAUGAUCAGCAACAAAAUUCCAUUUAUAAUCAGAAAUGGUAGUUGAGUAAUCUAAUGCAAUUAUAUCAUCGUCUUUAAAUCCGGUUUUUAUGAAGCAAUUUAAUAUAGUCUGUGGUGUUACACUUCUGAUUAUUUCUUUUCUAUAAAACAUUUUGAAAUUCUGUAUAACACCUUGGCUCAUUGGCUGAAAUAUAAGAUGUUGUAUUAGCGGGUAAAAAAUGUACUUUAAUGGAACUUAAUUCAAUAUCGUGAUUAUGAGCUAUACAAUUAUCUAUGAAUAGUAGAACUUUUCGAUUUUCUAGUUUCAUUUUUCUAUAAAAAUUUAAAAGCCACUCACUAAAUAAUGACGAAGUCAUCCAAGCCUUUUUAUUUGACCCAUAGUCAACUGGUAAAGAUUUAAUUCCUUUAAAACACCUAGGCUUCUUUGCUUUACCAAUGACAAAUAAUUUUAGUUUUUCGGUUCCAGACAUAUUUGCUCCUACCAUAAUUGUAAUGCUCUCUUUACUGUAUUUUCCACCCGAACAUUCUUUACCUUUUAAUAUUAAUAUUUUAUCUGGUAAGCAUUUGAAAAAUGAGCCCGUUUCAUCGACAUUAAAAAUAUCAUUAGAAGAAUAACCUGCUAAGACGUCAGGAAGAUUUUUAAUCCAAUUUGAACAACAAUCUGUGUAUACUGAAGCUUUUUCUCCACAAACAGUUCGAAAAACUACAUCAUGUCUUUUUUUUCAAUUUGUAAGCCAUCCACUGCUAGCUUUAAAAUUAGUGUGUCCUAGUUGUUGUGCAUAUUCGUUUGCUUUUUCAAGUAAAAUUGUUCCAUUUAAUAGUAUAUUUUUAUCUCGACACUGAGUAAACUAUUUUAGCAAACAUUUAUUAAUGUGCAAAUAAGGAGUCAUCCUCAUUUUUUUCAUAUUUCCACAAUUGAACUUCAUUAUUUUCUCUUUCUGUUUAAUAAUUGACGAUAAUGUAUUUGGUGGAAUAUUGAAUUCAUUAACGAUUUCACAUUUUUUACAGUCAACUUUUUCAACUAACUGUAUUAAACGAACUUUGUCCGAAAUUGAAAGAAUAUUUAAUUUACGCUUCUUUUCCAUUUCACUACAAAACGAACAAACGAACUACGAAAGAUUACAAACGCGCUAAAUCACAAUCGCUAUAAUGAAUGUACUGCACAAUUCCUGUUUUAACCGUAAUAAAAAUAUUAUUUGUGAAUUCGAGAUAACGAAAAACGAUUAAUUUUAUAUCGAGUUCAAAACACUAUUAAGUGUAAUAGUAGUUUCAAGGGGAAUCCAAUGUAUUUCGAGAUAACGAAAAAUUCGAGAUAGCGACAUUCGACAUAUUAAGAAUCUACUAUAUUAUAAUUGGUACUGAAAAUUGUGAGUUAUUCCGCGUAGGUAGGUGUCAAUCAAUCUUUUUUCGUACUCAUUAACAUCGUUUGUUGUUAGUCUUAUAGCAGAGUCCUUGUAUUUUUUUUUUACCGGAGGUUUGACACCAGCAAUAUAUUGUUCAACUUUUAUAAAAAUUAUUUAAGCAUUCCUUAUAUUAAAAUUGUAUAGCAAAUUUGUUUCGUGUAGAGACAUUUUUGCGCAUGCAACGUUUUUCACUGCAACAUUUUUUACCACGACAUUUUGAUGGAAUACCAAUAAUUUUAUAUUAUCAAAUAAAAAAUUGUCUAUGAUACAGAAGUACAAUUAUUUAUGUCCUGAUAUCCUUUUUUUUCCUAUUUCUAACAAAACCAGAUAUGUCUGAUACAAUGCUACCACUCUAAAAUAAAAAUUUAAAAAGACGUCUUAGGAUAAUGGGGACGGGUACAGCCACUGUUAAGGAUAAUUUAAUGUAUACCUGUAAGCAACUAAAAACGAUUCUGAGCUGAGUUCAGUUGAUAGUGAUACUUUGUCAACAAUAUAUAUGUAAUUUUGUAGUAAAAUAAUUAAUAGGCUUAUAUAUUUUUUUAAUGUUGUACCUAUUUUCCAGAUUUUCCUACAUUUUUCCCAGUUUUCUCCAUAUUUUCUUCUGGUUUUUCACAUUUACUGGGAAAACUCCUGAGAAAAUCGAAAAACGAUCACUGUUUAGUACCUCGCUAGUGAAAUUUCUUUUUAGAAACAUUGCUAUCGUUAUAAAUUAGAGCAAAAUUGCUGGUAGAAAAGUUGUUCGCAAGAAAAAAAAAAGGCUAUUGUAUAUUUUAACUAAUACAUACAUUUCUUAUAUUUUUCAUUUUUCCUCAGUUUUUUUCGGUUUUUUAAAUUUGAUAAGAAAAGUCCUGAUAAAAUUGAAAAAUUACCUUCUUGAAGUACAUCCCCACACUGAUUUCCUUUCAGAAAAGGUGCUACACUUAGAAUUUAAGUAACUCUUUAAGUAAAAAAGUUCAAAUAUAAAAAAAAAAAAAAUAAACAUCUUUGUAAAACUAUAAGCUUCUUUGCUCCAUUCAUAAUCUAAAAUAUAAUAUUUAUGUAGACUUAUAGACAAUUUUCUCCUGCAUAUUUAACCCCUGAAAAAGUGAUUUUAUUCAAAAACUGGGCAUAGCCAAUAGUUAUAGUUGACCCUUCAAUUAUGAUUUUGGACAUUGAUUAUAUGCUAUUAUAGAGUUUAUUAUUUAUUUGGUAAUUUUAUAUAGCCUCAAGCACCAGAUGAUCUAUCAGUCAAACGAGGUGAAUGGAUUUAUGCCGAUCUAGACAAUCAAAUGGUUGAAGGAUGGUUAUGGACAUAUGCACCAAAAACAAGAAAAUAUGGUUUUAUACCUAAAGCAUAUGCUCAUCCGCCUGCCAUGACCAGUUUAUGAUUUUAGGAAUUAAUUAUUAAAUUGAUGAUAAUUUGUGAUCAUUAAUAUCAAAAAGUAUUAUUUUAUGUGUUCAGUAUGAACUUUAAUUCUUAAGUCAAUUUGGAACUCUAACCCAAUAACUUUUAAACUAAAUUUAACUCCUAUAUCUCUCCUAUCCUUUAUUCUUCUUAUAACUUCUUUUGAUGAUCUUUCAAAACCAAUAAUUGUGAUAUUUAAUAACUUAAUGGGAUUGGUGAUAAAAUUAUAUAGGGUAUUAUUUAAUGAUUACAUUUUUAAAAAUGCAAUUACAUAAAAUGUGUGACAACAUUGACUUAUUACUCUGUAUAUCUGUAUAUACAAAGUGAUCAAAAUAAUAUUAGAUGCUCAUUAUCUCGUCAAGUAUCAUUUUUUUUUGUAAUUUGUAGACAAUUUUUCAGAAAAUUCAAGAAAUAAAUAGUUAAAAAAUUCGAUACAUUUUAAUUUUUACAUUUUUAAUUUCCGUCAACAGAUUGACGGUAAGUUUAAAAUAAGAUUUUUUAUAUGAGUUGUUAUGUGCAACAGUAAAUCAAAAAAUAAAUAAAUAGGUAAUUUAUUUAUCAUAAUUAAAAUAACAUAAAUUUUGAUAAUUUUUGUUGAUGCCAUUAACUUUUCUUUGAUAAUUGUAUACAAUUUUUUUUUUUUUAACUUUUUGAAUAUGCUAUUAGGCGUGUUUUGGCUAUUUCAUUAAUACUGUUGACCGACAUCUUUUAAAUAUGUCUGAUAAAGAAUACAACCAGGUAAUCACCUAAACAUACCUAUUGUAGGCAUGAUCGAAGGGCAGCUAUUUCAUUCCAUAUUCACAAGCAAAAAUAUUAAUUUUUAAAAAAUUUUAAAACAAAAAAGGAAAGCGUAAAACAUUUUAUUAUUUAUAUAUACAUAUAUAUCUCUAAAAAAAUCCCAUGAAGAAAAAACUUAUUAAUGUUAAUGAUAAAAUGUUCUCAACACAAUACAUUUUAGAUAUUUUUUAACAUAAAGAAAUAUUUUAUUAAAAUAACAGCUUAUAUUAGUAUGAAACUAAAGUGACUUAUUUAUUGAUACUAAUGGUCAAUUUUAUUAUUGUGUAAUCGUACAUCACGCCAUAAAAUUUAAGAAAAUUCUGUUUUGAACAUAAUCCAUGCUCAAUAUGCCAAUUAUACAGCAGUUAUCUGUUAUUUUUUAUAAGUAAAAUUGCAGUAAACGAUAAUUUCACUCAUCUAGAAAUAACUACUCUUAUUCAAUAAAGUCAUAGUAAUUUUGAAUAUAUUUGUGUUUUCCUUGAUUUUAUAGAAAAAUGUGUUAUAACAUAACAUUAUUUAUUUGGUUAAAUAUUAAUUUAAAUAGAACCAUUUAGAAUCAAAAAUGAACAUAUUAUACAAUAAUUUACUAUAUUUGCUUUUUGUAAGACAAAAUUCCUUUUUUUUUUUUUUCAAAAAUGUAAAUAAUAUUUAAAUACUAAUAAUCAAUUACUAAUAUUUAAUCAUCCAGUUUUAGAUACGUACUGAUUUCUUCACAUUUUUACAAUAUUCUAAGUGUUUUUAAAAAUUUUUGUUAAAUUAUGCCUUUCAUAAGUAUUGUUAGUUUUAAGUUUAUUCUAUGUUACAUAUUUUAUUACAAAACCAAGUUAAAUAUGAUUAAGAAUUUUGUAUUAAUUUGUCGGGUCGUACCUACGGUGCUUAGAGAAUGUAUUAAUACUACUCUGGUUAAGAGUUUUUUUAAAAAACAAUUAAUGAUUGCUUGAAGUAAAAGUAUAUAAAUAAAUACAUUUGUCUGUGAUGAUUAUUGUCCACAACUAAAUAGAAAAAUGUUACAGAAUAAAAAACCAUUCAUAUUUUUAUAUUUGAUUCUGUCCAUUUUGAAAAGUUGUGCCAUACUGCCAUUAUAUACUUUUAUAAGACUGUCUUGUUCUAAAUUAUUUUUGUAUUCAUAUAGAAUAAAUUUUUUAUAUAAGUAUUUAUUCAAUAUUUAAGAAUUACCUAAUUUGUCUGUAUUGUAGUAACAUUAAUGUGUCCAUGUACAUUCAAUUCAGUAACAUUUUCAUACUCAUAAUUGUGUAAUAAGUACAUGCACUUAUUUUUAAUUGACAAAAAGUAUAUUAAGAACAUUAUCAUUAUGAUCUAAAUUAGCAACUGUAAGUAGUAUAAUAUUAUUAUUGUAACUGUUUGUAAUAUUAUAAAUGGUUUAGUGAUCUAAAUAAUUAGCCACCAUUACAAUUAUAGUAAAAAACUUACUGCAGUUAUCAUUUACAUUGUAUGCUCUUCUCAGUAUAUAAGUAUUCCAUAUUUUAGUGUUCUUUGUAGUAUUUAGAUUUUUUUUUAUGCAUAAUGAAAAAAUAAACUAGAUUUUUUUUUUGAUUUCAUUGAAAUGGGUUUUUUAUCGAACAUUUGUAUUCUUUUAAUCACCAUCAAACAUACAAUUGGCAUUGGUGAACAACAAUGUUUAUCUUCGAACAGUAGUAAUCAAAAUAAAAUGUGUCGGGAUUUUGAAACAAUGUCCGUAUUAGUGGCCGACUUGGUGGGACGGUCUGUUAAAAGUGACGGAGAUGACAAGAAUCCCGCUGUCUCUCCGUUUAACAUAUCAAUAAAGACGUUGAUUCGGGCGUCAUCCGCUGUUGUUGGACGCAAUGUUAACGCUUUGAAAACAGUCGUAGUCAAUGGGUUGGUACUUCUGACACAAACUGUAAGUAUGAAAUGGUAGAAAAUUAAAGUAG